UGGAGCCUGCUUCGGAUUCUGUGUGCGUGUCUCUCUCUCUCCCCCUCCCCGGCUCAUGCUCUGCCUCUCUCUGUCUCUCAAAAAUAAAUAAAUGUUAAAAAAAUAUAUAUUUCCAAGCCUCUAAAGUGACAAUAUCUGCCGAGUCAGUGAGAACAACGACUGCCGAACAACGACUCAGUGAGUUGAACCUCGUUGAAGGUAGAAUCCGAACAGGAAGACCUUUGGAUGUCUCUCUUUUAAAGUGCACGUACAAAUCAAACAAACAAAACAAACCAAAAUAUCGCAUGUGCGUCUGCAUUUCUGGUUUUAAUUUUCUCCUUCGGGGCCCAAAUCAGAUUAGAGUUUCUAAGGAAGUGUAUCAGCGGGGAGAGUGCAGUCAGGAUUCUGUCUGAAGCCCUUGUCUGGAGGGGGCAUUAUCUUCUGCUUUUGAGCAGAUGUUUCUGUGACCUCCAGACCGGCCCAUCAUUGAGGCCUGACUCAAUCGUGAAAUGUGAUAAGCGAGGCCAAAGGGUCACUUUUAUUGUUCAAGAGAAUGCUAACGUUCCACAGGACGAACAUUUAUUAGCUGGGAACUUGUUGGCAGAAUUUACAGCCCUUGGGGAAGAGGAGAGGCUCAUCAAAUGUCAACAUCUUGGUUUCCCCACAAUUAGGGAAGCCAGAGCCUCCCAAACAGGGUCUUCAACUACUUAGAGGAGGCCCACCAUAUUAUGGAGGACUAUCUGCUUUACUCCGUCUACUGAUUCAAAUGUUAAUCUCAUCCAGAAACACCCUCCCGGACACAUCCAGGGUUCCCACUAUUCUAGCGGAAAUCGUGUCCAAAGCCGCUUUCCACCCAAGAACAGGGGACAUCCCAAGAAGGCAGCGGAAGUCUGAAUACGCGGGACCAGCCGAGGGGGGCCCACUGCUUUUCUCCUCUUUCCCACGCGCCCACGGCCAACCCCGUCCAAGCCCAGAAACCAGAGAGCAGCGAAGACGCCCGUCCAUCGUCCGGGUCCAGAAGGCCCAGCUGAGAUCUGUUUCAACGCACCCACGUGAGAGGGUUUCCAGUGUGUUUCCCCAGUUGCCAUGGCUUUGCUUUCUGCGUCAGGCGCUCUGUCUGUCAGACACGACAAUUGAAUAAUAUUUUUAUUUUUAGGCAUGGGUCA